GCUUGACGUCGGGAGUUUGAAUCAGUCUGAGUUUAACAUAACAAAUAGACGGUUGGAAUGUUUAUUAUAUAUUCUAAAAAGUUAAGCUACAGAACGCUGGUUUCUAAUUUGCUUUGAUUUUACUUCAAAAUAGCUGAUUCUCUGAUGCCUGCACAAUCCAAGUGGAUGCAACUUUUCCUGCAAGGAGACUGAACACAUACUUUGGGAUUAGAAACAAAACAGCAGAUGACAACAGCAAAUUUUAUUAUGUCUGUGUCAUACAAGCCCCCCGGGGAAAGCUGAAGAGAGACCUUCCAAGAAAAACCUGGUGGUGUGACCUUGAAGUUGACACCACAAAGAUGGGUUAUACGUGGCGACAGCUGGAGAGAAUGGCCCAGUAUAGAGGACUCAGUAGAUCUGUUGUUGACGGCCCAUACCCUGACAGGGGUGACUGGCACUGAGUAAGUUAUACAAGCCAAUGUAAAAUUUAACAUAAACUAAAGUAACCAGCAGGCUGACCUGUUUGAGUCUCUGUAACUGUAGAGAUCUACACUGCACCCUGCUGGUGACUUCUGUGCAUCACAUGCGCUGGCAGGCUUGAUUUGGGUUAUAAACCGUUUAAAUGGGUUAUAUUUUUAAGAAUUAAUUUGAUUC